rnacentral:rRNA from 1 species
UACGAAGGGGGCUAGCGUUGCUCGGAAUCACUGGGCGUAAAGGCGCGUAGGCGGCCAUUCAAGUCGGAGGUGAAAGCCCAGGGCUCAACCCUGGAAUUGCCUUCGAUACUGUUUGGCUAGAGACCGGAAGAGGUAAGUGGAACUGCGAGUGUAGAGGUGAAAUUCGUAGAUAUUCGCAAGAACACCAGUGGCGAAGGCGGCUCACUGGCCCGAUACUGACGCUGAGGCACGAAAGCGUGGGGAGCAAACAGG